UACGGAGGGUGCAAGCGUUAUCCGGAUUCACUGGGUUUAAAGGGUGCGUAGGUGGGAAUGUAAGUCAGUGGUGAAAUCUCCGUGCUUAACAUGGAAACUGCCAUUGAUACUAUGUUUCUUGAAUCUUCCGGAGGUCAGCGGAAUAUGUCAUGUAGCGGUGAAAUGCUUAGAUAUGACAUAGAACACCAAUUGCGAAGGCAGCUGACUACAGGAGCAUUGACACUGAGGCACGAAAGCGUGGGGGAUCAAACAGG
rnacentral:rRNA from 1 species